UUGUGUGGGAAGAAAAAUUGUACGGUUUAUCCUGUAUCACACUUCAGUCCAGUAGGUGGCAAUGAUACACCUAUACCUUGUUUGCUAACCGCCAUUAAAAGAACCAAAGAAGAAGACGAACACGUGUGUGAUUUCGAAUUCUGGUGGAGCCAAAUAGCAGAAAAUGAGACCACAAACUUUCGGAACUUUUGAAGCAUGUACCCAACAUUUGUCUUCAGAUGACCAGGAUUCUAUACAGACUGUUCUAACAAGGUUGGAGAUCAUGGCGACGAGCGUUCGCUGGAGCAGAGGGCGACUGCUUCAAUCUGAAGUGGUUGAUGAAAUGCUUUUGCUCAGCGAGUUAAUUCGGGAAUCCAACGAUCAGCAACAACAACGUGUUGCUCCUGGUUUCACCGUACCUCGAAUGGGAGGACAGACUGGAGGAAGGCCGGUUUACCAAAUCGCCCAAGAGCAGUUGCAGAUGUUGUUGUCCUAACUUCUCUGCUAAACAGAUUGCGGAGAUCUUGGGUGUCUCAAGAAGAACAGUGAACCGACGGUUAAGGUAUGUGUCAAUUGAAGGACUAGUUCAGGAGAGAUCUAAAUAAUGUCACCCCUUUCUCACUGAGCCAUACACAAUUUUGUUUUUCUUUACAAAGCACAUGAAACACUGCAGAAUUACCCUUUCUAUACAUUUCAUAAAGAAAUUGAUAUACUGUGAUAGCUAGAACUCUUUC